rnacentral:lncRNA from 1 species
GUAGGCUUGUGGCCCUGGCUAUAUCAGACCACCUCUGGGAUCUUCCAACUGGGGGCUCUUCACAGGGACAGAGAAGCUGCUGAUCUGUUGUCUUGGCUGGAGUAGAUCUCCUGGGAGGUCUUUAGACUGUUGGGUCUUCAGUGGAGCAGUCAAGCUAUUGACCAACUGCCCUGAGUGCAGCUGAUCCUCAACUGCUCUCAGUACAGAGGGUUCUCAACUGUUCAACUGCUCUGAGUGCCUUGGGUCCAACUGUUCUGAGUGCAGCGGGUCCUCUAGGAUGGGUCUGGAUACGGUGUCUUCACAGAAGCAGACCAACUAGAAGUCUGCCCCCAGAAGAAAGGACCAGGCAGAAGGGGUAGAAGGCACUGAGUGGAGUGGUAUUCAGGAAGGCAGGGGUUUUGGUGGGCAAUGGGACCAGAGUCCACUAGGCUCCCAGCAGCAGUUCUGGGACUUGUGGAGGGAUGGGGGAUUCUUACCAACCACUCUGAGCGAAGUGCUGUAGAAUGGAUCUAGAUAUGGAGUCUUCACAGGAGCAGACCACAUAGGGGUCUGCCCCAACAGCAAGGACCAGGCAGAAAGGAGCAUCAUAGGAAAGAGGUCACUGUGAGCAUGUCCGUGAAGCAUGUUCAUGAAGCGGCAUUUGGGAUCCCAGCCCUUCCUGUCCCACUCUUUGUUUCCUGGCUUC